rnacentral:rRNA from 1 species
UACGUAGGUGGCAAGCGUUGUCCGGAUUUACUGGGCGUAAAGAGCGCGCAGGCGGUCGUUCAAGUCGCGUGUGGAAGCCCCCGGCUCAACUGGGGAGGGUCACGCGAUACUGAUCGACUCGAAGGCAGGAGAGGGUAGUGGAAUUCCCGGUGUAGUGGUGAAAUGCGUAGAUAUCGGGAGGAACACCAGUGGCGAAGGCGACUACCUGGCCUGUUUCUUGACGCUGAGGCGCGAAAGCUAGGGGAGCAAACGGGG